rnacentral:rRNA from 1 species
UAGAGUUUGAUCAUGGCUCANAACGAACGCUGGCGGCAGGCUUAACACAUGCAAGUCGAACGCUCCGCAAGGAGAGUGGCAGACGGGUGAGUAACACGUGGGANCGUACCCUUUACUACGGAACAACUCCGGGAAACUGGAGCUAAUACCGUAUGUGCCCUUCGGGGGAAAGAUUUAUCGGUAAAGGAUCGGCCCGCGUUGGAUUAGCUAGUUGGUGGGGUAAAGGCCUACCAAGGCGACNAUNCAUAGCUGGUCUGAGAGGAUGAUCAGCCACNUUGNGACUGAGACACGGCCCAAACUCCUACUGGGGGCAGC